AUUGAACGCUGGCGGCAUGCCUUACACAUGCAAGUCGAACGGCAGCACGGGAGCAAUCCUGGUGGCGAGUGGCGAACGGGUGAGUAAUAUAUCGGAACGUGCCCAGUCGUGGGGAUAACGUAGCGAAAGCUACGCUAAUACCGCAUACGAUCUAUGGAUGAAAGCGGGGGAUCGCAAGACCUCGCGCGAUUGGAGCGGCCGAUAUCAGAUUAGGUAGUUGGUGAGGUAAAGGCUCACCAAGCCGACGAUCUGUAGCUGGUCUGAGAGGACGACCAGCCACACUGGGACUGAGACACGGCCCAGACUCCUACGGGAGGCAGCAGUGGGGAAUUUUGGACAAUGGGCGCAAGCCUGAUCCAGCAAUGCCGCGUGCAGGAUGAAGGCCUUCGGGUUGUAAC
rnacentral:rRNA from 1 species